ensembl:rRNA 5S_rRNA 5S ribosomal RNA
ACCACAGCCAUAUCACCCUGCAGCCCAAGACUGGUUGCCCACUGAAGCUAAGCAGGGUUCAGCCUAGUCAGUACCUGGAUGGGAGACCUCCUGGGAAAACUAGGUUGCUGCUGGAA